rnacentral:rRNA from 1 species
AGAGUUUGAUCCUGGCUCAGAUUGAACGCUGGCGGCAUGCCUUACACAUGCAAGUCGAACGGCAGCGCGGGGCAACCUGGCGGCGAGUGGCGAACGGGUGAGUAAUAUAUCGGAACAUACCCUAGAGUGGGGGAUAACGUAGCGAAAGUUACGCUAAUACCGCAUACGCACUAAGGUGGAAAGUGGGGGAUCUUCGGACCUCAUGCUCAUGGAGUGGCCGAUAUCUGAUUAGCUAGUUGGUGAGGUAAAGGCUCACCAAGGCGACGAUCAGUAGCUGGUUUGAGAGAACGACCAGCCACACUGGAACUGAGACACGGGUCCAGACUCCUACGGGAGGCAGCAGUGGGGAAUUUUGGACAAUGGGGGCAACCCUGAUCCAGCAAUGCCGCGUGAGUGAAGAAGGCCUUCGGGUUGUAAAGCUCUUUUGUCAGGGAAGAAACGGUGAGUUCUAAUAAAGCUUGCUAAUGACGGUACCUGAAGAAUAAGCACCGGCUAACUACGUG